rnacentral:misc_RNA from 1 species
CAAUUGAAGGACCUGGGUAUUCAAGAUUCGUUCAUUGCAACCAACCGCGUAUGCACUGGAAAAAGCCCUUGAAGUAUUGCUCAAACUAUAUAUCCACAACAAAGUAUAACGUUGUCACCUUCCUGCCUAAGGCGCUCUUUGAGCAGUUCCGGCGGGUUGCUAAUAUCUACUUCCUUUUGGCUGCAAUUCUUUCACUUACACCCGUUGCCCCAUUCUCUGCUGUGAG